rnacentral:lncRNA from 1 species
CUCAAGCACAAGACAAAAUGGGUUGUACACAUGGGCAAAGAUUACUGUAUGAGAACUAUUAAAAGGAUCAUCAUCAGCAGUGCACUUGAAUAUAAAAAGAAUAAGAGGACAACGAGAAACACUUCAAACUUGAAGGAUGUUUCAUAUUGAGUUAAGCCAGCUAAAUUAAGGAUGGCAAUGGAAUGGGGUGUGGGCGAGGAGGCUUAUCC